AGCAAAGAAAGCCCAAGUCACAAAAAGAGGCUCAUGGACUCUAGGACAGCUUUUUCUGGGACACACAGAGGGUGCAUGAAGGAGACUUGUUACACUGCAGAGUCGGGAUACUAGACAUGCUUCAUUUUCCCAACAGAAGUCCACACAAAAGGCCAACAUCCUUCAUGCAAUCAAACCACAUGGACUGACUGAGCACCGACUGUGUGUCAGGGGCCAAAGCAGUGGCUGUCCUCAAGAUGCUCCCAGUGCAGCCUGGGGAGAGACCGACAGACCACAAGGAUGCACACGGGACCCGGGACGGCGGCACUGCGGGGGAAGAGGAGUGGGAUACCAUUACAAACACCCCGAAACGGCAGCCCACACACCAGGGAGGACCAGGCGUGGGAUCCCCACCUCCCAGGGGACUCCUUUGGGCCACAGCUCUGGAGGGGGAGGCAGUGGGGGGCACGCCCACGUGGGAUCGCAACACCCCUCCCCCAGCCAUGAAGUUUCAGGUGCCCCUCACCCCCCCGAAACUCUUCUAAAGGAAGUCCUCCCCCACCAGCUAGCUCUCCUCUCCUCCCUCUGCGGCCCCACCCCCUUCGCCCCCCCCACUACCCCUCUGCCUCCAGCCCCACUCCGCCACCACCUCCGACGCCGCCGCGCUCCAGCCUCCAACCACGCGAUGACCUCGACUCGGACCCGGAGCCGGAGCUGGGCUUGGUCUCUUGUGCCCAUGGAGGAGGAGCCGCGCUGGGACUCAGGCAGCAGCACAGGAGGGGUGGGAGGAGGAGGAAGCCCCGCCCCCGUACCCCGCGGGGGAGGCCACUCCAGGUGGGCUCUGUGAGCUCCGCGCAGGGCUUGCCGCGUGCGGCCUGCUGGGAGUUGUAGUCGGCGGCCUUCCGUCCUGGCCUCAGUACAGAGGGGAAGUGGGAGAGAUGGGGGAAGGGAGGGAGGGACGCAGCCCCCUCCACUGUCCCUUGCUGGCUUCCCCAAGGGCCCGCCCUCGGUCAGCCCCACCACGAGC
rnacentral:lncRNA from 1 species